UCGGCAACGGAUAUCUCGGCUCUCGCAUCGAUGAAGAACGUAGCGAAAUGCGAUACUUGGUGUGAAUUGCAGAAUCCCGUGAACCAUCGAGUCUUUGAACGCAAGUUGCGCCCGAAGCCGUCAGGCCAGGGCACGUCUGCCUGGGCGUCACGC
rnacentral:rRNA from 1 species